GGCAAGAUGGCCGAGCGGUCCAAGGCGCUAGCUUCAGGCUUUCCCCAGUGAGAGUAUGCUAGUAUCGUAAGAUGCGUGGGUUCGAAUCCCACUCUUGUCA